UACGUAGGGUGCAAGCUUUGUCCGGAAUCAUUGGGCGUAAAGAGCGUGUAGGCGGCCCGAUCAGUCCGCUGUAAAAGUCCAGGGCUCAACCCUGGGAUGCCGGUGGAUACUGUCGGGCUAGAGUCCGGAAGAGGCGAGUGGAAUUCCUGGUGUAGCGGUGAAAUGCGCAGAUAUCAGGAGGAACACCAAUGGCGAAGGCAGCUCGCUGGGACGGUACUGACGCUGAGACGCGAAAGCGUGGGGAGCAAACGGG
rnacentral:rRNA from 1 species